rnacentral:rRNA from 1 species
AUUGAACGCUGGCGGCAGGCCUAACACAUGCAAGUCGAGCGGAUGAAGGGAGCUUGCUCCUGGAUUCAGCGGCGGACGGGUGAGUAAUGCCUAGGAAUCUGCCUGGUAGUGGGGGAUAACGUCCGGAAACGGGCGCUAAUACCGCAUACGUCCUGAGGGAGAAAGUGGGGGAUCUUCGGACCUCACGCUAUCAGAUGAGCCUAGGUCGGAUUAGCUAGUUGGUGGGGUAAAGGCCUACCAAGGCGACGAUCCGUAACUGGUCUGAGAGGAUGACCAGUCACACUGGAACUGAGACACGGUCCAGACUCCUACGGGAGGCAGCAGUGGGGAAUAUUGGACAAUGGGCGAAAGCCUGAUCCAGCCAUGCCGCGUGUGUGAAGAAGGUCUUCGGAUUGUAAAGCACUUUAAGUUGGGAGGAAGGGCAGUAAAUUAAUACCUUGCUGUUUUGACGUUACCAACAGAAUAAGCACCGGCUAACUUCGUG